UCCAAAACCGAUUUGCAAUCACUGAACAAUUCUUUGACAUUUACUCUAUUCUUAUCGUUGGCAACUGAAAAUUAAAUUAGAAAUUUCAACAUUAAUUCGGCAAAAAAACAUCGGUUUAGAGUUCUCCCCAAGGAUUUGUAGUUAUUUUGGUCGGUGCUUCCUUCCGCUGCAAUUCCGUCUGUGGUUCACUGCCACUGGCCUUGCUUUUUCAACGAUAUAACUGUUUUCUUGUGAUUUUUGCUGCUGCAAUCCCGUCUGUGGUUCACUGCCUCUGGCCCUGCUUUUCCAACGAUAUAACUGUUUUUUUGGUAACUUCUACCGCUAAGACUUUGUUGCUUUUUCCCUUUUCCCUAAAAACAUAAUAGUGCUACAAAGCUCAAUAACAAUAUGGAAACAAAUGUUAAUAAGCCACAAUAAUAUUGACAAUAAAUAAGAUUUCACUACGA